CAACAAUUGAUUUAGUCCUGGCUUUACUUUUUCUAUUUUAACAGAUAUCAUCUCCGACCUCCACCGUAGCUGGGUUGUCGCAGAGAGCAAGUGUCUUUCUUCUUGCAUGUGUUUGUUAAUGAAGUGAAUCAGAGCAGUAUCCAAACACUGGGCUGGAUCAGAGGUGCCUCCAUCCAUCAUGGCAAGGCUCUCCCAGAGCUCAGACAGAUGGCAAGCCGGGGAGCCAGGCUGGAGUAAUUGAUGAAGUGGAAGAUGGUAGCAGGAAACCUGCUAUUACACCUCCCAGGAGCAUUGUCUUGCUUUGCCUUAGUGCAACUUCUCAUGUAAAUUGUCAAUUCUUUCCCAGCAAGGGGCACCUAAAUCAAGAUUACCAUGAAUAUAGGGAAUUUGAACAAAGUUAAGGUCCAUGUUAUGCAUUUUAUUAUGUUUAAUUGUGAAUAUUUCCUAAGUAAAAAAAAAAGUAGUUAUUCAACCCAGUCUACUGUGCUGAUAACCAUGACAGUUUCUUCUCAGAUCAUCACAUGAUAAGAGAUAUAAAGCUGUUCACUGUGGUGUAACAACAAAGUGCCAGAGGCCUUUGUUCUGGGCUGAAGAGUUGCUUUGUUUUAGCCACUGAAAAUGUGUUUUUUUUUUUCCUUUCACUACUGCACGAUUGUGAUUUGUCAAAUGUAGAGUUGGUGGGUUAAAAUACACAAACUAUAAAA